GUUAAAAUGCGUUCUUCUAGAUUCAGAGACAAACCGGAGGAUAAUUCGUUUAAAUCUUUUAUUUGUGCCUUAUUGGUGUUUUUAUGUGCUUGUUUAAUCAUAUAUAGUUCCAUUGCGUUAAUUCCACGUGCAUAUUUGGGUGGUGAAAAUGCUGGAUAUCAUGGUCGACAAAAAUCACCAAAAUUUUCAAAUAAAACAGCAACUUCAGUUACUACAACCCCAACAACUACAAUAAAGAAAACAUCUGCAUUAGUACAAAAUGUAACAGCUACUUCCACUACUUCAAUUCCAAUAGUAACAAUGAAAGGAAAAACAAAUUCUGUCACCACAACACCAUCAGUGGCAGGAAAAAUAAUAAAUACUUUCACUAAUAUGACUUCAUCAACAAUAGGGAUUUUUGUAACAACUUUCACUACAAGUCCAUUAACAACCACAGAAGAAAGAACUUCCGCUACUACAAAUCUACUAGUAACAACAGAAAAAAGUGUA